UGGCCACAAGGUGGCAGCAGAGGUGCAUCAGUACACUCUGUUUGAGGUGUGAGAGAAGGGGCGAGACGUCAUCUCACUCGUAUAUACGAUCUUUGUUUUUGACUGACCGCCCGGUACAGUACGGUAGCUUUGAGCUAAACACAGCUAAACAGUCAAAAGGUUGAAUUGAACCAUUGAAAAUAGGAAUUAAACAUUUAAAAGACAAGAGAACGACGACUGAGAAGCUGUUGACAUCGUGUUGAAGCUGUUCAUUGAUAUUCCGCCCCUGGUCCGGGUGUGUUGACCGGCUCGAGUCGUGACCGUCCUCCUCUCCAGACGAACGCGCCCCGCGUGACCGCGGCUCACUUAUUCAUGAUCAGCUGACGACGUGGAGUUGCGGAUGACAUCACUUCCUGCAAGCUCACCUGUGUUAGUUAGUGUUUCCUGUUGUGGUCCUGCUCCUCCUGGUUGCUCUGAGGGUGAAGCAGACUGUGGACGAUAUCCACAGCCAUCCACAGUCAUCCACAGUGAUUUGAAAAGUGAAGCCCAGCACGUGAGGUG